GAUGAACGCUGGCGGCGUGCCUAAUACAUGCAAGUCGAGCGAACAGACGAGGAGCUUGCUCCUCUGACGUUAGCGGCGGACGGGUGAGUAACACGUGGAUAACCUACCUAUAAGACUGGGAUAACUUCGGGAAACCGGAGCUAAUACCGGAUAAUAUAUUGAACCGCAUGGUUCAAUAGUGAAAGACGGUUUUGCUGUCACUUAUAGAUGGAUCCGCGCCGCAUUAGCUAGUUGGUAAGGUAACGGCUUACCAAGGCAACGAUGCGUAGCCGACCUGAGAGUGUGAUCGGCCACACUGGAACUGAGACACGGUCCAGACUCCAACAGGAGGCAGCAGUAGGGAAUCUUCCGCAAUGGGCGAGAGCCUGACGAAGCAACGCCGCGUGAGUGAUGAAGGUCUUCGGAUCGUAAAACUCUGUUAUUAGGGAAGAACAAAUGUGUAAGUAACUAUGCACGUCGUGACGGUACCUAAUCAGAAGGCGACGGCUAACUACGGGC
rnacentral:rRNA from 1 species